UCUCCGUUGGUGAACCAGCGGAGGGAUCAUUAUCGAGUUUAUAACUCCCAAACCCUAUGUGAACUUACCACUUGUUGCUUCGGCGCGCGCUUCGGUGCCGCCGAGGACACUUAAACUCUUUGUUUUUAUAAGCAUUUCUGAGUGGCCGAAAGGCAAAAUACAAAUGAAUCAAAACUUUGAACAACGGAUCUCUUGGUUCUG
rnacentral:misc_RNA from 1 species